rnacentral:lncRNA from 1 species
AUUGAGUUCUAGCAACUCUAAAACAUAAGUCAACCUUGAAUCUAAUAUAAUUUUGGUACAAAAUUAAGAUUGAAACAAGAAAGUGUGACGAAAAUGCAAUGAUAGUGAGCGAUUCACGAAAAAGACUCUAGUAAGUUCACUAAGAUAAUGUUAUGCGUCAUUGGUGUGGUGAAAAACAAUAUUGACAUUAUAACUAUGGAAAAACUUGAUAGAAAGAGUUUUUUAAAUUGAGUUAUUAUCGCAC